rnacentral:rRNA from 2 species
UAUCAAUAAGCGGAGGAAAAGAAACCAACAGGGAUUGCCUUAGUAACGGCGAGUGAAGCGGCAACAGCUCAAAUUUGAAAUCUGGCCCUCGGGUCCGAAUUGUAAUUUGUAGAGGAUGAUUUUGGUGCGGUAUCUUCCGAGUUCCUUGGAACAGGACGCCUUAGAGGGUGAGAGCCCCGUACGGUUGAAUGCCUAGCCUCUGUAAAUCUCCUUCGACGAGUCGAGUAGUUUGGGAAUGCUGCUCUAAAUGGGAGGUAAAUUUCUUCUAAAGCUAAAUAUUGGCCAGAGACCGAUAGCGCACAAGUAGAGUGAUCGAAAGAUGAAAAGCACUUUGAAAAGAGGGUUAAAUAGCACGUGAAAUUGUUGAAAGGGAAGGAUUUGUGACCAGACUUUUUCUGGGCGGAUCAUCCGGGGUUCUCUCCGGUGCACUUUGCCCAGUAAAGGCCAGCAUCGAUUUUCGGCGGCGGAUAAAAGCAGUGGGAAUGUGGCUCCCUACGGGGAGUGUUAUAGCCCAUUGUAUAAUACGCUGCUGGGGAUCGAGGUACGCGCUUCUGCAAGGAUGCUGGCGUAAUGGUUAUCAAUCACCCGUCUUGAAACACGGACCAAGGAGUCGAACAUUUAUGCGAGUGUUUGGGUGUUAAACCCUCACGCGUAAUGAAAGUGAACGGAGGUGAGAGCCCGUACGGGUGCAUCAUCGACCGAUCCUGAAGUUUUCGGAUGGAUUUGAGUAAGAGCAUAACUGUUCGGACCCGAAAGAUGGUGAACUAUGCGUGGAUAGGGUGAAGCCAGAGGAAACUCUGGUGGAGGCUCGCAGCGGUUCUGACGUGCAAAUCGAUCGUCAAAUCUGCGCAUGGGGGCGAAAGACUAAUCGAACCAUCUAGUAGCUGGUUACCGC